rnacentral:rRNA from 1 species
GACGAACCGGAGCGAACGUUGUUCGGAAUAACUGGGCUUAAAGGGCGCGAGUAGGCGGGCCGCCAAGUUCGAGGUGAAAUCCUCCGGCUCAACCGGAGAACUGCCUCGAAUACUGGAGGCCUCGAGGCGGGUAGGGGCGUGCGGAACUGUGGGUGGAGCGGUGAAAUGCGUUGAUAUCCACAGGAACUCCGGUGGCGAAGGCGGCACGCUGGACCCGAUCUGACGCUGAGGCGCGAAAGCCAGGGGAGCAAAACGGG